rnacentral:rRNA from 1 species
AUUGAACGCUGGCGGAAUGCUUUACACAUGCAAGUCGAGCGGCAGCGCGGGGGCAACCCUGGCGGCGAGCGGCGAACGGGUGAGUAAUACAUCGGAACGUGUCCUUAAGUGGGGGAUAGCUCGGCGAAAGCCGGAUUAAUACCGCAUAAGCUCUGAGGAGGAAAGCGGGGCUCCGUAAGGACCUCGCGCUGUUGGAGCGGCCGAUGUCGGAUUAGCUAGUUGGUGGGGUAAAGGCCCACCAAGGCGACGAUCCGUAGCUGGUCUGAGAGGAUGAUCAGCCACACUGGAACUGAGACACGGUCCAGACUCCUACGGGAGGCAGCAGUGGGGAAUUUUGGACAAUGGGGCAACCCUGAUCCAGCCAUUCCGCGUGAGUGAAGAAGGCCU